rnacentral:rRNA from 1 species
UGAGGAAUAUUGGUCAAUGGGCGCAAGCCUGAACCAGCCAUCCCGCGUGCAGGAAGACGGCGCUAUGCGUUGUAAACUGCUUUUCCAGGGAGAGAAACUUGCGCACGUGUUGCGCAAUUGACGGUACCCUGGGAAUAAGCAUCGGCUAACUCCGUGCCAGCAGCCGCGGUAAUACGGAGGAUGCGAGCGUUAUCCGGAUUCAUUGGGUUUAAAGGGUGCGUAGGCGGACUAUUAAGUCAGUGGUGAAAUCCUGCAGCUUAACUGCA